UCAAGUGAAAUCAGCAUGGCUUCAAACAAAUGACUAUGUAGCUCUUUUGAUUGCAUAUCAUGUGGGGAUACAAGGCAUAAAAUAAAAUUCAUAGUUGAUUCUCUGAGAGUUGUGGAACUGGCUUUUGCACAGGAAACCCCUUCUGAGGCAUCUACUGCACAACCCACCAGCCUCUUCUCCAACCAUUUAGACAGACAAAGCAAAUCCAUGCUAAGAAAUUUUGUUUGUAUCUUCUGCUUGAGGUCAGGGCAGAGGUCUCCAGAUAAAAGAUCAACAAAGAAGUUAAGGACCUUCACGUUAACCGAUUCAGAGUAACAAUUAUCCAAUGAAUCAACCAGAACCAAUAAAUCACCACGUUGCAACCCAUAAAGCUCCUCGACCUUUUCAGACACAUCAACCAUACUGACAUAAAAUUUGAAAAUGACAGCCAGUGAAGGGUCUUUCCUGAGGAUAUCCAUCAUAUCGAUUGCCUUGGUCACUAUACAUUCAUGGAUACUA
rnacentral:lncRNA from 1 species